rnacentral:rRNA from 1 species
GUAGGUGGCAAGCGUUGUCCGGAAUUAUUGGGCGUAAAGCGCGCGCAGGCGGUUCUUUAAGUCUGAUGUGAAAGCCCACGGCUCAACCGUGGAGGGUCAUUGGAAACUGGAGAACUUGAGUACAGAAGAGGAAAGCGGAAUUCCACGUGUAGCGGUGAAAUGCGUAGAAAUGUGGAGGAACACCAGUGGCGAAGGCGGCUUUCUGGUCUGUAACUGACGCUGAGGCGCGAAAGCGUGGGGAGCAAACAGGGAUUAGAUACCCUGGUAGUCCACGCCGUAAACGAUGAGUGCUAAGUGUUAGGGGGGUUUCCCGCCCCCUUAGUGCUGCAGCUAACCGCAUUAAGCACUCCGCCUGGGGAGUACGCCGCAAGGCUG